rnacentral:rRNA from 1 species
UCGAACGCGAAAGGCCCCUUCGGGGGCCGAGUAGAGUGGCGCACGGGUGAGUAACACGUAGGUAAUCUACCUCUGGGUGGGGAAUAACAGCCGGAAACGGCUGCUAAUACCGCAUAACGCAGCGGCACCACAUGGUGACAGUUGUUAAAGCGGGGGAACUUCGGUCCUCGCGCCUGGAGAGGAGCCUGCGGCGGAUUAGCUAGUUGGCAGGGUAACGGCCUACCAAGGCAACGAUCCGUAGCCGGCCUGAGAGGGCGGUCGGCCACACUGGCACUGACAUACGGGCCAGACUCCUACGGGAGGCAGCAGUCGGGAAUUUUGGGCAAUGGGCGAAAGCCUGACCCAGCAACGCCGCGUGAAGGAUGAAGUUUCUCGGAAUGUAAACUUCACAAGAAUGGGAAGAAUAAGAAAGGGCUAAUACCCCUUUCGAUGACGGUACCAUUUGUAAGCUCCGGCUAACUCCGUGCCAGCAGCCGCGGUAAUACGGGGGAAGCAAGCGUUGUUCGGAUUUACUGGGCGUAAAGGGCGCGUAGGCGGCGUGACAAGUCACUUGUGAAAUCUCCGGGCUUAACUCGGAGCGGUCAAGUGAUACUGUCGUGCUAGAGUGCGGAAGGGGCUACUGGAAUUCUCGGUGUAGCGGUGAAAUGCGUAGAUAUCGAGAGGAACACCUGCGGCGAAGGCGGGUAGCUGGGCCGACACUGACGCUGAGGCGCGAAAGCUAGGGGAGCGAACGGGAUUAGAUACCCCGGUAGUCCUAGCCUAAACGAUGGAUGCUUGGUGUCCGGGGGUACAAAGUCCC